rnacentral:rRNA from 1 species
CAGUAGCCGCGGAAUACAGAGGGUGCGAGCGUUAAUCGGAUUUACUGGGCGUAAAGCGUGCGUAGGCGGCUUCUUAAGUCGGAUGUGAAAUCCCUGAGCUUAACUUAGGAAUUGCAUUCGAUACUGGGAAGCUAGAGUAUGGGAGAGGAUGGUAGAAUUCCAGGUGUAGCGGUGAAAUGCGUAGAGAUCUGGAGGAAUACCGAUGGCGAAGGCAGCCAUCUGGCCUAAUACUGACGCUGAGGUACGAAAGCAUGGGGAGCAAACAGGAUUAGAUACCCCCGUAGUCCCUGUCUCUUAUACA